UGGCCCAAAUAGUAUAUCAUUUGUAAUAAUGAGUGUCCCUCAUUAUGUGCGCACACUGUUUUUUAGUGUAUUUUAAAUGUAUUUUUUUAGUCGAUUUUUAGAUGCUUAAUUUGAGAGUGUCUGAAUUUCUUAAGUUACGCUUUUUUGUUUGCUUUAUUUUGCUGGAGUUCUAGUUUUUCUGGGUUAGUAACACUGUGAGAGGAGCCUUAUGUUGCAAUAUUUAGUCCUCUAAUCCUGAAUACAGGAAGUGCAGAGGUUCAUAAAAUUUGAAUAGGGAGAGAAAAUGCCCAAAUUUUGUUCAAACCUUAAAUAUGUUUGGUUUGUGAUAUGGUCAAAGAUUUUUAUCAGUUCUUAUUUUAUUUGAAUGUCUUUGUUUAUUAUUAAUCAUUGUAAUUCUUUUUCUAAACUGUCUUGCAUUUGCAUUUGAUUGCAAGUUAGGAGAGAGAAAGUUUGGUGUGACUCCGAGAGCCCUGCCAAUUAAGCCAGUGGAAUUCGAUCGGUUUAUCUGAAAUAGCCAUGACAUGUCUCUGCUCAUCACAUAGAUACAUAUUAAAAUUUCUAUGUCAGUUUUUCUUCACAAAGAAGGCCUUUUAAAUGUAGCCCCUUAUCCAGAAAAGGAGAUGUGUAUCAGCUCCUACGAUAAAAGACAUUUAUUGGACUGUGGCCUGACUGACAAGAAUUGUACUGAAAUGAAGAAAGGUUGAUGACAGAGAAAAAUACCAUAGAACUCCUUUGUAUGCCUUCAGUGUCACCAACCAUGCUUAAAGCUCAUUGUCAACUCAGCUUUUUCCGAUGGCAAAUACCUUUAGAUUGGAGUUGGUUUGGUAGGUGUCCAUUCUGUAUGUGUCUGAUAUCCUAUGCCCAUCAUUAGUCGUAAAGUUAUGCAAUGUGGAAUGCCUCCAAAACCCUUGUGGUUUUCUAAAGUAUGUUUUAUAAUGAGCUUUUCACGUUAAUUUUUGUGGGUCCAUUUCUGUGUGCUAAAUUUACUGAGCAGAGAAGUAGUUCACUUUUAGAAAUGGGAGUACUUAUUUUUAAAACAAAAUAUGUAUGAAAGGGAUGACUCAGUUGUAACCCAGUAAUGUCAGCUCUGAUACACUCAGAUUUUGAGUAUUUGUUUAACAAUACUCUUAUUCCAGUGCUUUGUGCCCUUGUUGUUUUUUGAUGCACCGUGAGGCUUUGUCUACAGUAUGAGCUAGGGGUGUGAUUCCACCUUGUACAUGCAGUUGUGCUAACUCAUCAAGCUCACACGAGCAUAAAUAGGAAUGUAACUACAGUAGCAUGGGCAGCAAGUUACAGUAACAUGGCUUUACCAUGCUGAACACUCACCGCUGAUUUCAGUCAGCCUGCUGUUUAUGUAUGUGUGCUAGCUCAGUGAGAGCUAACCUGAUCACGUGUAUAACAUUAGAGGGGAAUCAUACCCUGAAGUCAUAAUGUAGCCAUAAUCUUGGCAUUUUUAUGCAAUCUGUAUUCAUAGAUGACUCGGGACAGCAAUCAGGAUGUGCACCCACCCCUUGUUCCCUGCCAAAAUUUUAAUUGCUAAAUGGGAUGCACCCUUCCACCUCCUCUGGGUGGCCCUCCUUGCACCUCUUCCCCUGCAGCACCAGUCGCCCCUGUCUGUAUUCAUGUUUUGAAGGUGUCAGUAAUUGUUUAUAUUAAAUUACAGACUUAGAAGAUUCAUUUGCCAGCAUCCAUGACUGCUAAGUUUACAUUUCAUGCUAUUGUUGAUUUCUAAGCUUUAGGUAACUGUUUAUUUUCUGUAUAUUGAAAAAGUGGUUAGAUUUCAGAAUAGAUGCUACAAAUCAAGAGGGGAAAAAUAGAGGAUAUUUUGUUCAAUAGGCUUGUGUUUCUGGAUUAAUCAAACAGGUCUUUUUUGUUGGGAUACUAUGUUUAAGCAGCUUGUUUGUGUUUCAGAUAGUCUUUUUAAAAAGUUUUGCAAGGAUUUGAUAGUAAACCCGUAUUUAUCUGUUCAGUUAAAUAAAAUAUGAUGAAUGGUCUGUCUGUCUGUCUAAUCUAUCUAUCUAAUCUAUCUUGUCUAAUCUAUCUAUCUAUGUUAUGUAAGAAAAAUACUAAAACAAGGGAUAAUUAACAAAGUGCAUGACCCUGAAAACCACCCAGCAUGGGUCUCCCUCUUAGUCGUCUUUUCUCAAGACUAAACAUGCCCAUUUUUAACUUUUCCUUUUAGGUAAAGUUUUCUAAAUCUCUUUUUUCUUUUAUUUACUCUUCUCUGGACUCUCUCACUAUUUUGUUCUAAAGCGUGGAGCUCAAAAUUGGACACAUUACUUCAGCUCUGAUUUCAGCUGGUAGACUCUAGAUAGUUCAGUAAUAUAGUGCAAAUAAUAACUAAUAAACCACCUCUGCAUAUUCUAAUUUUUCAGUCUGUAAAAUGGUCAAAAUUACUUAGCAUCCUCCUCUUAGGGUCUUUUUAUUAUAUAAAGUGGCAUUUAUUAAUUCCCCCAAUGUAGUUAAUUGUGACCAUUUUGCAAGGAGGAGUCCUUUUGUUGUAUUUAAGCCUUUACUUGGUCAUUCCUACAUGUAUUAUAUUAUAAUGAAAAAGGCCAUAAAACCACUACCCCAAGUCCUAAAUCUUCAGAGACAUGAUGGCUUUUGCAAUUUCUGUGGAGAUACUAAACAUACUUACUGGAAGGUAAAAGUUAAAUACUGUACAUAGACCGAAGCUAAUGACUUUUUAAGAUUUCAUGUCCCAUUUGAAAAGAAAUACUGCUAUUUGAAACCACAGAAAACAAUUAACGGCACUCACAAUGUUAAAAAAAAAUGUCAGCAGUUCCGUUGGGUGACUAUAAUGGAAACUGGUCAUUCUUUGGAGAUUAAUAUGCAAUUUUCUAUGUGCAGGCAGCAUACGCUCUGAUAGAAAACAAACAAAAAAGUGCCAUUCUCAAAGAAUUAUUUUUAACCACGCAUUGUUUUGUGCAUAUUUAAGAGGAAACUUGUGGCAUCGCCACCAUCACAGCAAAUGUAGCCACUUAGUCUGAUCCCAUCAAGUUUGGAGGAUGAUCAGGCCAAUGUUGAAGGGGAUGCACAAGAGUUCAGAGCCACUUUGUUAGAAUAGUUCUCUCUCAUCUAACGUGCCGCCACCAUGCUCCCCACACGGCGGCUUGUACCUGGGCCCCGGCCGCCAGAGCUGAUGCCACCACCACUCACCACGUGGCCAGCCUUCGCUGCAGCUCCAGCCCUAAGGAAGGGCUGAAGCUAGGGCCAGGGCAGCAUGGUGGCUGCUCUUGGGGUGGGGCAGCAGCCACUGCAUAGCCCUGCUGAGGAAGCGAGCAGCAGGCAAACCACACUGUGCGAGGAGCCAGCAGCCCUCCCUUCCCCGCUGCCGCUUCUGGCCCUCCUUCUUGCAUGAGGCUGCCAACUCCCAUUACCUGGUAUGCGUCACCCAUGAUGGCUGAUGCUUACCAGGUAACCGGUUCCCCAUUCACAUCUCUAGUGCCAAUGGCAUUCUCUUUGGGAGUAACUGUUCAUAAGGCUGGCAGGUGAAUUGCUUCUGGAAUUGGGUUACAUGACUUCAAUCAGAGCGUAGGUCUCCAAUUGUCACUUUGUUGUAUAGCCUACACACCUAGCGUGGUUCACUGUCCCAUGUAGUGGCACUUAGACCACUUACAGUGAGAGGUAAGAACAAGGAAGGGGGCUCUACAGCCUAAGCUGAGAGCCAGCUGACUUUAUAGCUCAAGUUGUAGAGGUCCCAUGUUCAAAUCCACCUGGUGGUGGUUACUGUUGCACAGGGGAACCAAAUUAGAGGGUUGAAAAUCAGUAAGAACUUUUAUUUCUUUUGCGGAACAAUUUUAUGCCUUUUAGUAAAGGAGAUUGCACUGCACUUUACUGUUCUGGAGAUUAGGGUUUCCAUAGCUCGUGAGUUUCACCAAGGUUAAUGGAUGAGUAUGAAUACUUUCAUUACUAGCAAAUUUUCAGUACUGAUCACAGUAAUGGAUCAUAAGGAAAUACUUUCAAUCCUGCCUCCUUUUUGUGUUGAGAAGAGAGGGCAUUUUACUGAGACACAUUUUAAAUAUAUGUAAAUUAAUUUGAUGAGAAUAUCUAGCCUAGAAGUAACAAAAGACAGGACUAUGCAGCACGUUAAAGACUAAUAAGAUGGUUUAUUAGGUGAUGAGCUUUUGUGGGCCAGCUCCAUUGCCUGGAAGUAGGCAGUUUGAUUCUAAAACUAUGGAGAUAGUAUUUGAAAAGUGUAAGAAAGAGAACCUGAAGAAUUAUAGACCAGUCUGCCUAACUGCAAUGCGUGGCAAGACACUGGCGUGCGCUUUUUAUAGGAUAGAAUUAGAAUCCAAAACAAACUUGACAAAUUGGAGAAUUUGGUCUGAAAUCAACAAGAAUGAAAUUCAGGAAAGACACGUGCAAAGUUUUGCACUUAGGGAGGAACGAUCAAAGGCGCGGCCACAAAAUGGAGAAUAGUUGGUUAGGUCCUACUGAAAAGGAUCUGGGAGACAUGGUGGAUCAUAGAUUGAAUGAGAGUCAGCAAUGUGAUGCAACUGCAAAAAAGUUUUGUGUCAUUCUGGGGUGUAUUAGCAGGAGUAUCAUGUGUAAGGCACAGAGAUAAGUGUCCCACUCUGGUUGACACUGGUGAAGCCUCAGCUGGGAUACCAUGUCCAGAUCUGGGUCUGCCCUUUGGGAAAGAUCAGGAUAAAUGAGAGCUAGUUCAGAAACAAGCAGUACAAAAUGAUAGAAGGAUUAGAAAACCUGACCUGUGAGGAAAGGUUAAAAAAACUGAGCAUGUUUAGUCCUGAAAAAAAGAAGACUUUGAGGCAACCUCACACCAGUAGUAAAAAAGUGAAAGGCUGUUGUGAAAAGGGUGGUGGUUAGUUCUUUUCCAUGUCCGCUGAAGGUAGGGCAAGAAGUAAAUGGCCUAAUUUGCAGCAAGGAAGAUUUAGGUUGAUUAUAAGGAAAAACUUUCAAAAUAUAAGGUUAGUUAAACUCUGGAAUAGGCUUCCAGGCAAGAUUGUGGAAUCUCCAUCCCUGUAGAUUUUUAAUAGCAAAUGGGGCAAAAGUCUGUCAGAAAUAGUGUAGGUUGAUUUGGUCUGGCCUUAGUAUAGGGGCUGGACUUGACCUCUCAAAGUCUCUCCCAGACCUACAUUUCACUGAAUCUGUAAUAUUUCAUGUACAGGUUGAACUUCCCUAGUCUUUCACGCUUGGGUCCAGCAACAUCUGUGGUCUGGCGUGAUUUUAGUUAGCUGGAUGUGUGUAUACAGCCACCAGUUCUGGCUCUCAAUGUUCUGUGCUGUUAUUUACUCUAAUUUACCCCUAAAUGUUUUCUAAGAGCCCAGUAAACAGUUGAAGUGUUGGUAAUGCUGCUAGACAAUAUUGACCUCCCAUGGCUUGGCAAACUCUCUGGUUUGGUAGUAAUCAGGUGCUGGAGUAGAGGGAUUCAGCCUGUAGUAUUGAUCUAUGAAUUGGGCCCUGAUCCCACAAAUUCUCACAAACAGAUCUGUAUAGAAGAUAUUGCCCAAAAUGUUUUUCUUAAUGUAUACUUUUAUUUCAGAAAUAUAUAUAUUAUUUUUGUUUUCUUUCUUUUAUAUAAUUGGCACUCAACAAGGAACGCUGCCUUGCCUGGUAGUGCUAUUUAGGUUCUUUAUGUUACUGAGCAGAAACUCUUUCUGAAGUUUCAGUGUUUGUCAACGUGUUAAGUCCUCAUUUAAUGAAUUUGCUUUGUAUUUGCUUAGGUGCAAGCUUUCAGAAGUACUAUCAGGAUUUCUGUCAAUAACUGAUUGCAUUGCUUGCUUACUAAUUAUGCAUGUGACUUCGGAUUAGCUUUUAGAAUGAAGCCUUCAAAGAAACAGAAAAUAGGCAUUCACUGCUAGAACUUCAGAGCCUGAGUUGCAGAACUGACAGGUCUAGGUUUUAGGACAUUGCAUAUCAUAAAUGCAGGCAAACAUCCUUUCUUAAUUAAUGACAGAUAGUGAUACGCUCUCUUCCGCAGCUGAUUGCAUCACAUUACACUUGAAUAACGAUCCAAGAUUUAUUUAUAUUUUGAUGCCCAAUACCGUAUGUGAAGUGUUUUCUUCCUGAACUGGGUAAAUUCAGCGCAUUCAACCCAAGGACAAUUACUUCAUUAUAGAAGUUCACUCUGGUACAUGCAGAGGGAGGGGAGUGCAUGGCAGACUCUUUGCUUCCCAUUUUAAGCCUGUACAAGGGGCUAGCAAGAGUCUAGGGCAUUGGUGUAGCUAGGACAAGAAAAGUGGGUGGGCCCAGCUUUCAGGUAGGUGGGCAAUGAUGGGGGGCAGGGUAGUGGGGUGGAGAUCCUUGAAGGGGGUAGGAAGGAUCAUAUGUGCAGGAGGGAUCCAGUGCCAUGGGCAGGGGAUGGGAGGGAUCUGGUGUUUGGGAGGGUGGGGGCAGGAAGGGGAGGGAGGCAGGAAAGAUCUGGAGCUCUGGAGAGGGGGGCAGGAAGCGAAGGGAGGCAGGAGAGAUCCAUUGCCCUGGAGAGAGGGAAGCAGGAGAGAUUUGGUGCCCUGUGGAGAGAAAGCAGGAGGAAUGGGAGACCAGUCUCUCCAUACCCCCCGCUUAUUUCUCAGCAGGCAGUCCUGCUACGUUACUCUCCUGCCGGUGUUAUGCAUGGAGGUCCCAGUUUCCAGACCCAGCACUAGCCCCACCCACACCUUCCUCAAUAAGGUAUGCCCUCUGUGGGGCUAGAGCUAGGGCUAGAGACCAGGGCAGCAAGAUGUGGCACUGGCAGGAAACCAGUGUGGCUAGGCCAUGGAUUUGGGGGGCUCCGGGCCCUGAUUUGGGUAACCGGGAUGCUAACUGGCUGGGCCACGGGCCACUCAGGCCCACCCAUAGCUAUGCCCCUUGUCUAGGAAGUUCAAAGAUUGUAGAAAUUUGGUUGGUUCUAGACUGAUCCUCCAAAGAGAACUGAAGUAAGAGCAGGAUCAUAACUACACUCCCCUGAGUAGUAGUCAGUGAACCUUCUCAAGAAUGAGUGGAGAGAACGUACACCACACUAGUCCAGUUAAAGGCUAGCAGAGGAUCUGUUGCGUGCAUGCUACAGAAGGAAUUGUGAUUGAGUAUGGCAAAAUUUUGCCUUGGAUUUUCACUGUAGGGCUGUUUCUCUACAUCUCCUUAACACUGGGCUUUGACUUAAAGGCACAAUGUAGCACUCAAUAUUUACACCAUAAAUCUCUCAGAUCAUUCUGUAAUUAAAACCAGAAGGUGCUGUCUCUCAUUGCUGAAAGGAAUUCUCCAUUCUAAACUUUGGGGCACAACUCAGCAAAGAGACAAGCUCUAGGAUGAGGUUGUCCAUGUCCCCAGAAACAUGAGGCAGGAGUGAUCUACUUCAAAAGGAAAUGUAAUAGGCAAGAAAAUUUGAGUUUUCGACAUAAUGCUAUUUAAUAUAUUCAGAUAGGUUAAACCUGCUGUUUUGUAUCAUUAACCUUAACCUAGGUGGAAUAUUCUGCAUUGUUACAUAGUUGAUUGUUCUCUGAUUUAGGUAUGUAAAAGGUUAAAUGGUUACCCAAUAAGCAUUAGUCUUACUGGCAUCCUUAUUGGGUAAUGGGUCAACUGGAGGGCCUGGUUGGCAGGAGCAGCCCCCUGCCCAGUGGUUAACCAAUUAAACAAAUCAUUUAACCAGAUAACUAAUUAAGAUAGUUUUUAUAUCCCUAGUCUGAUGCCUGAUAAACGAAGAUGUUUGAUGUAGAUUUAAAAGGCUUAUUUUUGCUACUAUAGAAUGGGAAAAGUGCUGUUUUAAAAUCACUGUCUAACUUCAGAGCACCUGCCUUUCUCUUUUCUGAGGCAGGAUUUUUAUAGCCCUUCAGCUCCUAUAAUUCCUUGCACUGCUCCAAUUAAUCUAUCAAAAUUAUAUUCCCUGUGAGCAUGGUCUAUUCCUUUCAUUGUGACUAAUACUGGGGAAUCCCUCCGGAUUUCUCUCAUCAGUCGUGCCCAGGUUAAUGCAGUUCUACUGCCUAUAGGGGUUAGUCAAUUAUACAGUUACUAUGUGAUGUAAACAGGUUCAGUUACAUCGAAAUGAAAAUUGGCAAGAAAUUUCAGCCAUUUUUCUGCAACAUUAUUGCAAUCCUACACUUACAGGUUUACAGUUUCUUCCAAGUUUAAAUCUGAACAUGUUUUUAACUCAGUAAACCCCACUGAUCCUCUUCUAAGCUAAGGAAAAGAAAACAUCCUAUCAAUGAAAAAAGUCCUGAAAACCCAUUCAAAUCCUUCCUUGUUGUGCAUGAGGUAUUAGUAAGGUAUGCUAAGUAAUGCAUCUUUUUAUUCACACAUUCAUGGUACAGUGCCCAUUGAAAACAACAGUGGCCAUCAUGGUGAAGUAAAAUAUCUGUUGGAUCACUACAACCUUUACUCAGAGUUCUGUAAAUUGAUGGUUUUUCAUGUGAACUGUUUUAGAUUGUUACGUUGCUGCUAAAGGUGAGUACGAUCAUCAUCAAUGAAUAAUUCUACCUGCCAAACAUCAAGAGAGCUUCUCUUCCGGCAUUUGCCAGAACUCUGGGAUGUUAAUGAUGCCCAAGCAAAUUUGGGUGGAAUAUUCCAAAUUCCUUAUGCUUUUAAACUAUUUCUCUCAGGAAAUGCUUGCCACCUUGAGUCUACCUAUUUGUAGUUGUAGAAAACAAACUGUCUUUUGUACUGCCCUGGGUAUGUGUCUGAUUUUCUGAUGUAUACUAUUUAUUUACAUGCCAUUUCAUUGUUUUGUAUUAGUUCAGAGCCUCUCAAUUAAUACAGAAGAACAGACAAGCAUUUGUAAAUAGUAAAUGAUAUAGGUAGGCUAUAGACAUAAAGGGUGAAAUCCUGAUACUGUUAAAAUCAAUGUGCAAAUUGCCAGAGACUUCAGUGGGGCAUCUACUCCUUGAUGUGGAAAUAUAGAUGAAAAGUAAUUUUUGUUGUACUGAGAGUGCUAGAUUCUUGACUGACAAGUAUAAAGACAGAAUAAUUGCUUAGAAGAUCUUUCAGUUUAAAAUAAGGUAUAAACAAAGGCAAGGGGAAAAGUAACAAAGAACAGUGUGACUGAAUGAUGAAGUAGGAUUAGCAUUUUGUGAGUUUUGCUGUUUGUUUAAUGUUUAUCAUUAAUUAUGAUGAUGAUUUGGCAUUUUGGUCAUGACCGGGGAUUGAACUGGAGACCUCUAUAUCUAAAAGCAUUGGCCUCUCUGCAACUUGAACUAAAGGUUUAGUUCUCAAAUCUACGAGUUGUAUACAGAAUUUCAUUCUCUGUGAAUCAGACAAAUUAAUACUUCAGCUGAAAGCACUAGGGUUUAUAGGCCGUAGGAAGAAGUGUGCUUUAAAGAGGAAAGGGCAUAGAGGAUCACAGAUUGGGUCAGGGAGGAAUGUUUAGGCUUAAAAGACAGCAUGGAAGGAGGUCUAGCCCCCAGAAUAAAGAAAAUUAAAGGGCUAGGCUAGGGAAGAAUGAAAGAAGAUGAAAACAGACAGGUAGGAGCUAGAUUUUUCAGGUCGUUGAAGUUGAGCAGAAGGAGUGUAUGUUUCAUGUGGAAAGCCUGUAAAAGCAAAUUGAAGAAGAAUGUGAUGUGGUCAGAGUGGCAGGCAAGGUAGCAUAUUUGGGCAGAUUGAAAAAGCCUGAGCUGAAUGUAUAGAAGGCAAAAUAGGGAGGAAUGAAGUGAAAAAUAAUAAUAGCCUGGGAAAGGUAUGAAUGGAAAGAAGUGGGUGAAUUCUGGAAACAAUGACAGCAUUAGUGUGGGAAGGGAAGAGAGGAGAGGAGAGGAUAAAAUUGAGGUUUUGAGCUUCAAGAGUAUAUGGGAUAGUGGAGUUCCUCCAUUUUGCUCAAAUUGGUCUGCAUAUUUCUAGUUGUGCUCUCAGUUCAUUUUAUGAAGUAUUAUUUUAAAGGGCAUUUGUGAAAGGAAAUACUGUAGAUAAGUGAAAAUGGAACUCAAAUUCUAAUCCUGGGCCUUAUACUCGCUCACUGUGUGGCUCUGGGCAAUUAUUUGUAUCUCACUGUCGUGUUGUGGGGAUUCUGUUUGGUUAAAGUGCAUUCACCGCUUUGUAGAGUUGGUGGUAAUGGCCUAUUUAUGUCCCUAAUGGACAAGGUAUUUAGUGCACAGAAUCAUUUGUGCCAUGUAUUUGUCUUCUAUAAAUGGAUGAUCUUUAAUGAUGAUUCAUUUGUGUUUUGAAAGAAGACUUUAGUUUGAUUUGUCAUAGUCAUUUGUACCCGAACACAUACAUCACAGGUGUAGAAGUUGGAGCUGAUCAGUGGCAACCCAGAUUUCUUUUGAAGGCUAGGUGGCCGAUCAGCUGUAAAAGCUAUUCUGUUUACUGCUAUGUCAAUUUGCUAAAGGCAGCCCAGAACAUCUUUCUCCCCAUCAGAGUUUUUUCUAGAUGGACAGCCUCUGGGGAGCUAUAUCAAGAGGUGAAUUCCACUUGAUGCGACAUCACAGUCCUGAGGAUCUUACUUUGAAAAAUACA